rnacentral:tRNA from 3 species
UGGCCCGUUGGUCAAGCGGUUAAGACACCGCCCUUUCACGGCGGUAACACGGGUUCGAGUCCCGUACGGGUCAUCC